ensembl:lncRNA
GCCGGGGCGGCCGGGACAGGAGAGGGCGGUGGCAGCCAAACCCCGGCAAGCUCAGGCGGUGCAGGCCACUCCUCCUCGGCCUCAGGCGGUGCAGGCCACUCCUCCUCGGCCUCAGGCGGUGCAGGCCACUCCUCCUCGGCCUCAGGCGGUGCAGGCCACUCCUCCUCGGCCUCAGGCGGUGCAGGCCACUCCUCCUCGGCCUCAGGCGGUGCAGGCUGCUGCCACUGGCAGGAAGGAGGCGCUGGCUGCUGCUCCAAUGCAGCAGGGGGCGCUGACUGCCGCUGCUGGCAGGUAGGAGGCGCUGGCUGCUGCUCCGAUGCAGCAGGGGGCAAUCGGCGCCGUGGCGCAGGGACAGGGGCGGCGGAAGGCCGCGGAGCAGGAAGCGGUGUGCGCCUAAUUGCCAGCCUACAGCCUGGCCAGCCUGCACGGGGUCGAGG